UGGGGAAUAUUGCACAAUGGGCGCAAGCCUGAUGCAGCCAUGCCGCGUGUGUGAAGAAGGCCUUCGGGUUGUAAAGCACUUUCAGCGAGGAGGAAGGUGGUGAACUUAAUACGUUCAUCAAUUGACGUUACUCGCAGAAGAAGCACCGGCUAACUCCGUGCCAGCAGCCGCGGUAAUACGGAGGGUGCAAGCGUUAAUCGGAAUUACUGGGCGUAAAGCGCACGCAGGCGGUUUGUUAAGUCAGAUGUGAAAUCCCCGGGCUCAACCUGGGAACUGCAUUUGAAACUGGCAAGCUAGAGUCUCGUAGAGGGGAGUAGAAUUCCAGGUGUAGCGGUGAAAUGCGUAGAGAUCUGGAGGAAUACCGGUGGCGAAGGCGGCCCCCUGGACGAAGACUGACGCUCAGGUGCGAAAGCGUGGGGCAGCAAACAGGAUUAGAUACCCUGGUAGUCCACGCUGUAAACGAUGUCGAUUUUGGAGGUUGUGCCCUUGAGGCGUGGCUUCCGGAGCUAACGCGUUAAAUCGACCGCCUGGGGAGUACGGCCGCAAGGUU
rnacentral:rRNA from 1 species